GAGGCCUUAGCUUAAUUAAAGUGUCUGAUUUGCAUUCAGAAGAUACAGGUUAAUAUCCUGUUGGUCUUA
rnacentral:tRNA from 1 species